rnacentral:rRNA from 1 species
UCGAGAAUUUUUCACAAUGGGCGAAAGCCUGAUGGAGCGACGCCGCGUGGGGGAUGAAUGGCUUCGGCCCGUAAACCCCUGUCAUUUGCGAUCAAACCUUAUUAUUUAAAAGAUGAUAAGCUGAUAGUAGCGAAAGAGGAAGGGACGGCUAACUCUGUGCCAGCAGCCGCGGUAAUACAGAGGUCCCAAGCGUUGUUCGGAUUCACUGGGCGUAAAGGGUGCGUAGGUGGCGAGGUAAGUCGGAUGUGAAAGCUCGGAGCUCAACUCCGAAAUGGCAUUGGAAACUACCUUGCUCGAGGGUUGGAGGGGGGACUGGAAUGCUUGGUGUAGCAGUGAAAUGCGUAGAUAUCAAGCGGAACACCAGUGGCGAAGGCGAGUCCCUGGACAACUCCUGACACUGAGGCACGAAAGCUAGGGGAGCAAACAG